rnacentral:rRNA from 1 species
GAUGAACGCUGGCGGCGUGCCUAAUACAUGCGAGUCGAGCGAACAGACGAGGAGCUUGCUCCUCUGACGUUAGCGGCGGACGGGUGAGUAACACGUGGAUAACCUACCUAUAAGACUGGGAUAACUUCGGGAAACCGGAGCUAAUACCGGAUAACAUAUUGAACCGCAUGGUUCAAUAGUGAAAGACGGUUUUGCUGUCACUUAUAGAUGGAUCCGCGCCGCAUUAGCUAGUUGGUAAGGUAACGGCUUACCAAGGCGACGAUGCGUAGCCGACCUGAGAGGGUGAUCGGCCACACUGGAACUGAGACACGGUCCAGACUCCUACGGGAGGCAGCAGUAGGGAAUCUUCCGCAAUGGGCGAAAGCCUGACGGAGCAACGCCGCGUGAGUGAUGAAGGUCUUCGGAUCGUAAAACUCUGUUAUUAGGGAAGAACAAAUGUGUAAGUAACUAUGCACGUCUUGACGGUACCUAAUCAGAGAGCCACGGCUAACUACGUG